rnacentral:rRNA from 1 species
UGGGGAAUAUUGGACAAUGGGCGAAAGCCUGACGCAGCAACGCCGCGUGAGGGAUGACGGCCUUCGGGUUGUAAACCUCUUUCAGCAGGGAAGAAGCGAGAGUGACGGUACCUGCAGAAGAAGCACCGGCUAACUACGUGCCAGCAGCCGCGGUAAUACGUAGGGUGCAAGCGUUGUCCGGAUUUAUUGGGCGUAAAGAGCUCGUAGGCGGUUAGUCACGUCGGAUGUGAAAACCAGGAGCUUAACUCCUGGCCUGCACUCGAUACGGGCUGACUAGAGUGUUGUAGGGGAGACUGGAACUCCUGGUGUAGCGGUGAAAUGCGCAGAUAUCAGGAAGAACACCGGUGGCGAAGGCGGGUCUCUGGGCAACUACUGACGCUGAGGAGCGAAAGCGUGGGGAGCAAACAGG